AUGGUACCUGAUGAUGAUCCUGGAGGUCGACAGAAGACUAAGAUGGUGCCGGACUGCAAGUGCCCCAUCUUCCUGGAAACAUUUUACUUUGUUGUCACUGAGGAGAAGCACCAUAAGAGGCUACUGUUCACCAUGUGGAACUGUGACCAAAUCUCAAGGAGAAGUGAGCUGCUGGGGUGUAUGAGUUUUGGCAUGCGUUCCCUCAUGGACCCACAGAAGGUGA